UAGGGAAUCUUCGGCAAUGGACGAAAGUCUGACCGAGCAACGCCGCGUGAGUGAAGAAGGUUUUCGGAUCGUAAAACUCUGUUGUUAGAGAAGAACAAGGACGUUAGUAACUGAACGUCCCCUGACGGUAUCUAACCAGAAAGCCACGGCUAACUACGUGCCAGCAGCCGCGGUAAUACGUAGGUGGCAAGCGUUGUUCGGAUUUAUUGGGCGUAAAGCGAGCGCAGGCGGUUUCUUAAGUCUGAGGUGAAAGCCCCCGGCUCAACCGGGGAGGGUCAUUGGAAACUGGGAGACUUGAGUGCAGAAGAGGAGAGUGGAAUUCCAUGUGUAGCGGUGAAAUGCGUAGAUAUAUGGAGGAACACCAGUGGCGAAGGCGGCUCGCUGGUCUGUAACUGACGAUGAGGCUCGAAAGCGUGGGGAGCAAACAGG
rnacentral:rRNA from 1 species